ACUGAAACGAAACGUCAAAAUCAGCAGACCUUUCCAAAUUGUUAAGUUCAUUCAUCUUUCUUCCAAACCCAAGAAGAAUCUCAAAAGAUCAGCAAUUACACAAUUAAAACACACCGUCUUACACACAAUCACAUUAAAGAAGAAGAAUCUCAAAAGAUCACUUUUCACCCAAAACGAUUCGAGCAGACUUUUUUCUCAUUUUGGAAAACACUAUCAAAGGAAGAACAACCUCACUGAAACCUUACAAAUUCUAAGCAAAUCUUUACUCUCCAUAAUCAUCAGCCCCUGCAAAAUGUGAUUUACCCAAGACCUUCCUAAUUGCAGGGUCCAUGUUUUGUUUCUCUCAAAAUUCGUUAGUGGUUCAUUUAGAUCAGGUUGAAGAGAGCAAGACUGGGUUUUCAUGAUAGAUCGUCUUCUUCCUCUGUAGCUAUUGGAAUAAAGCAGCUUCAAUAAGUUCUUCGAGUACUAUAGCCUCAAGCUCGGCAAACUUUUAAGGUUCUUUCAUUUUCCAUUUUUUUUGAAAUUUAGGUGAAUUGUAAAAUGUGUGGGCUAAUUUCUUAAAUCUAGCGCUUGCUUAAAAACAGUUGGAACAAAAUCUGUUGUAAAUUCUCCAUAGAUCAAUAAAAGAAGUUGGUUUUGCUCCGGAGUGAGAAGAUGAAGUACAACUUGCAAAAUCAGAAGAAAGCUCACUGUUUGAGCUAGCUGCAUCAGAAAAAGUAUUGUUGGAGGAACAAUUUAUACAUGGAAAAAUCGACAAAAUAGCUAGCAAGACAGGUACUGAAUAUAUUUAUAUUGGAGGUCUCCAUUAUUUUCCAUUUUGUGUUCGCGCUAAUAUUGUUCUUCUUUAAGGAAAAUACAUUAUGAAUUAAGAAUUAGAGUCAAGUAAUUUGUACUCAAUUUACUUUAGCCAGUGACGGUCAUUUUAAAAACAGUUGAAAGAAAUACAAAUUUAAUUCUACACAUACCAACUUCAAGAUGUAACUUUCUUGAUCAUCAAUAGAAAAACUUUGGCAAAA